GGGCUGGGCUGCUUGGCUUUUGGGUGUCAUCCUUCCCUCCCUCAUUGCAGCCUCCUGGAUCAACUGAGGCUGUUCUCCAGCAGGAGCUGUUGUGUCCCUGGGCUCAGGAAAGUGACACAACCGCCCCAGGGCUCAGGCAGUGCUUUCACUCCCUGUCUCCCAGGUGCUGUGUCUGUGCCCAGGGCAGCUGCUCCUGCUCAGGUGCCUGGGGCUGCUGCCCUUCCCUCCAGCCCUCAGCCCCAGCAGGAGCUGCUCCUGCCCUUGGCCUUGCUGCUGAGCAAAAGCCUUUGGAGUGCCCCAUGUGCAGAAUCCUGUGUGCCAGCACCUUCCUCAGCAGCCCUCGGGGCAGUGCUGGUGCUGUCCAGGCAGGCUGGUGGCACCCGAGCCGUGCUCUGCAGAAGGUGGCACCAGCUGGCUCUGCCCCAGGGAGGUGUGAGGGGCUUUUGCUGUGCAGGUGCUGCAACCCCGCUGGGAAAGCCAGGGCCAAGCCCUCCUGGAGAGCUGGCUGAAGGGCUGCUUCAGCCUCAUCCCCUGCAGGCUCUGCUAAUAAAGGAGUUGAUUUGGACUCUGCUGCUCUGUGUCUCCUUUGUGUUCAGGGGAGCCACAGCUGGGGCUGACUCAUGCUGAAUGUGCUGCAGAUAGGCAGGGGGCAGAGGGGUGGCACUGAGGGAGGGGGUUUGGCAGCAGAGACUCUGCUCCAUUCAGGGUCGCUGCUCUAGGAGUGGCUUCACUGUGUGCAGGGAGAGCAGAGAGGGCAGGAAGCCCCAAACCACAACAUCCAGGGAAACCAGUGUCAGUAGCAGGGGCCAAGGG
rnacentral:lncRNA from 12 species